rnacentral:piRNA from 1 species
UGAUAAGGUAGAUUCUGAAUCCACCCAGUGA